UUCCAGUGUCACCUCUAAGCACAUGACAAACAACUAAAUGGCUACUAAUGCUGGCAGAAUGCCCACACACAACAAAAUAAGAAAGUCUUCACUGAUCAUCAUUUGGCAGCAGCAUCUAACAAUGCAACUCAAGAUUCUGGACUGGACUGGUAACCUUCACUCCCACCUCAGACUGUCAACUUGGCUGGUGUCCUCAUUAUAUAACCUCAGCAUAGACUGCACAGAAAACACUGCUUCCAACAACUCCUCCAUUGUUAAGUGGACUCUUACCUUGCAAUGGCCCAGGCAUUGUUAAUGCAGGAGUGUGUUUUAGUUGCCAUGGGAAUGUGUUUAUUGGCCAUUGUCUAGUAAAGAACAACUUUUCUUGGCCUGUUAUUACAGCUUUCAGCCGUCAUGUCACAGUAAUCAUAAAAUCAAACAUACAAACAAUCAGUCCCUAUAUAUACUCAUGUCAGCCAAGAAAAACAGUUCAUUUAUCAGAAGCAGAUAAGACACAUUCUGAAAUCUUAAAAUGCAACUUAUUGGUAUGAUGGUCUGUUGUUAGGGAGAUAACUGCAUAAUGCAUAAACACUCAGCAGUCAUAUUAUCAAAUUAUUUUAAUUAAAUUUGUCCAGCCCUGAAAUGCAACAGACUCUACAUGAGUAUAGGUAUAUGUUCAACUAAAAUACCAACAGAAUUUUC